UACGGGGGGGGCAAGCGUUGUUCGGAAUUACUGGGCGUAAAGGGCUCGUAGGUGGCCAACUAAGUCAUGCGUGAAAUCCCUCGGCUUAACCGGGGAACUGCGUCUGAUACUGGAUGGCUUGAGUUUGGGAGAGGGAUGCGGAAUUCCAGGUGUAGCGGUGAAAUGCGUAGAGAUCGGGAAGAACAUCGGUGGCGAAGGCGCUCUACUGGACCACAACUGACACUCAGGGACGAAAGCUAGGGGAGCGAAUGGG
rnacentral:rRNA from 1 species